rnacentral:rRNA from 1 species
GACGAACGCUGGCGGCGUGCUUAACACAUGCAAGUCGAACGGAAAGAGAUGAAAGAGCUUGCUCUUUUAUUAAUUUCAGUGGCAAACGGGUGAGUAACACGUAAACAACCUGCCUUAAGGAUGGGGAUAACAGACGGAAACGACUGCUAAUACCGAAUACGUUCUAAGCAUCGCAUGGUGCAUAGAAGAAAGGGUGGCCUCUACAAGAAAGCUAUCGCCUUAAGAGGGGUUUGCGACUGAUUAGGUAGUUGGUGAGGUAACGGCUCACCAAGCCGACGAUCAGUAGCCGGUCUGAGAGGAUGAACGGCCACACUGGAACUGAGACACGGUCCAGACUCCUACGGGAGGCAGCAGUGGGGAAUCUUCCGCAAUGGACGAAAGUCUGACGGAGCAACGCCGCGUGAACGAAGAAGGUCUUCGGAUUGUAAAGUUCUGUGAUUCGGGACGAAAGGGUUUGUGGUGAAUAAUCAUAGACAUUGACGGUACCGAAAAAGCAAGCCACGGCUAACUACGUGCCAGCAGCCGCGGUAAUACGGAAGGUCCGGGCGUUAUCCGGAAUUAUUGGGUUUAAAGGGUGCGUAGGCCGUUUGAUAAGCGUGCUGUGAAAUAUAGUGGCUCAACCUCUAUCGUGCAGCGCGAACUGUUGAACUUGAGUGCGUAGUAGGUAGGCGGAAUUCGUGGUGUAGCGGUGAAAUGCUUAGAUAUCACGAAGAACUCCGAUUGCGAAGGCAGCUUACCGUAACGUUACUGACGCUUAAGCACGAAGGUGCGGGUAUCGAACAGG